GGUCCGCUGGCUCAAUGUCAGAGCGUCUGACUACGAAUCAGGAGGUUCCAGGUUCGACCCCUGGGUGGAUCG
rnacentral:tRNA from 1 species